rnacentral:rRNA from 1 species
UACGUAGGCAGCGAGCGUUGUCCGGAAUCACUGGGCGUAAAGGGCGCGUAGGCGGCCUGAUAAGUAGGGGGUGAAAUCCUGCGGCUUAACCGCAGGGCUGCCUUCUAAACUGUCAGGCUAGAGCACGGUAGAGGCAGAUGGAAUUCCCGGUGUAGCGGUGGAAUGCGUAGAGAUCGGGAAGAACAUCAGUGGCGAAGGCGGUCUGCUGGGCCGUUGCUGACGCUGAGGCGCGACAGCGUGGGGGGCAAACAGG